GAUGAACGCUGGCGGCGUGCCUAAUACAUGCAAGUCGAGCGGACGGACGAGAAGCUUGCUUCUUUGAUGUUAGCGGCAGACGGGUGAGUAACACGUGUAUAACCUACCUAUCAUUCUGGGAUAACUUCGGGAAACCGGAGCUAAUACCGGAUAAUAUUUUGAACCGCAUGGUUCAAUGGUGAAAGACGGUCUUGCUGUCACUUAUAGCUGCAUCCGCGCUGCAUUAGCUAGUUGGUAAGGUAACGGCUUACCACGGCAACGAUGCAUAACCGACCUGAGAGGGUGGUCGGCCACCCUGGAACUGAGACACGGUCCAGACUCCUACGGGAGGCAGCAGUAGGGAAUCUUCCGCAAUGGGCGAAAGCCUGACGGAGCAACGCCGCGUGAGUGAUGAAGGUCUUCGGAUCGUAAAACUCUGUUAUUAGGGAAGAACAUAUGUGUAAGUAACUGUGCACAGCUUGACGGUACCUAAUCAGAAAGCCACGGCUAACUACGUG
rnacentral:rRNA from 1 species